UAGGGAAUCUUCCGCAAUGGGCGAAAGCCUGACGGAGCAACGCCGCGUGAGUGAUGAAGGUCUUCGGAUCGUAAAACUCUGUUAUUAGGGAAGAAUAAAUGUGUAAGUAACUAUGCACGUCUUGACGGUACCUAAUCAGAAAGCCACGGCUAACUACGUGCCAGCAGCCGCGGUAAUACGUAGGUGGCAAGCGUUAUCCGGAAUUAUUGGGCGUAAAGGGUACGCAGGCGGUUUAAUAAGUCGAAUGUUAAAGAUCGGGGCUCAACCCCGUAAAGCAUUGGAAACUGAUAAACUUGAGUAGUGGAGAGGAAAGUGGAAUUCCUAGUGUAGUGGUGAAAUACGUAGAUAUUAGGAGGAAUACCAGUAGCGAAGGCGACUUUCUGGACACAAACUGACGCUGAGGUACGAAAGCGUGGGGAGCAAACAGG
rnacentral:rRNA from 1 species